GUGUGUGUGUGUGUGUGUGUGUAUCUGUGUGUGUGUGUGUGUGUGUCUGUGUCUGUGUGUUCUGUGUCUGUGUGUCUGUGUGUGUUUGUAUGUCUCUGUGUGUAUGUGUCUCUCUGUAUGUGUCUGUCAGUCUGUCUUUCUGUGUCUCUGUGUCUGACUGACUCACUCACUCACUUUGGUUCUGCUAAGAUACCUCUUUUUCCAAUUCUUGUUUCAGACUCUGUUAACACCACUGGAACACAGCCAGGUUCUGCACGCCGACAUGUCUGACAAUACUGGUCCCUAGAGCCCCAGCCCCCGGGAUAGAACAGCCCACAUUUAGGGCAGCUCUUCCAACCUGAAUUAAAGCUCUCUGGAAAUACCCUCACAGACACGUGUGUUUCCACCUGACUCUAAAUCUAGUCAGUUGACAAUGAAGAUCACUGUCAGAGCACCUGGGUCAGCACCAACUUCCGACUUUCAGGCGAGACAGGAGGGAGCCGGGGUUGAGCCCUGGCAUGGCAUACUCUUACCCCUCCCUCUAAAAAUUCCCCUGGGGAUUUUGGGUUCAGGAGUGUGCUCUGGGUCUUUGAAGAUGGCCUGUCGUGUGUGUGUGUGUGUGUGUGUGUGUGUGUGUGUGUGUGUGUGUGUGUGUGUGUGUGUGUGUGUGUCCGUCCAUCCCCUAGGGAGCUUUCAAGAGCUGCUGGUGCUGCUGCUUUGUUGUCAGCCACUGCUUGAUCCUGGGGUAGGGAAGUCUUUGGAGGCGGCAGCUCAAAUAGGGCCUGGGAGGGUGAUGCGCUGCUGGCCCUUUGUGCUCACUACACUUGUGUGUUCAGGGUGAUGGACAGUAGAGGCUUUCUGGGCUUGCCCAGGGCUCAGAAGGCCUGGUGUGCAUGGACCCUGAUGCCCGUGCUCGUGUGGUGGCGACGCCACCCUGGCUCAGUAGCGCCAGGACGGUCUUGGUACUCUUGUCACAGGUGAUGGUGAGGCACAGUGUGGUGAAGGCAAUGCACCUAGCCGUUUUCUCAGAGGCAUCUCCAGCCACGUCUGUAACCUCCUCCACCCACUGUGACAGGGCAUCCACCUCCCAGAGCUGCUUGGCCUUAUUGUACCAACCCUAUCCCUGGCCCCCAAGUGUGGGCCACUCUCAGAGCUGAGGGGAGAGGCAGCCAUGCAGACCCCAUGCCUUUCAUGGCUAAGCCAAAGCUUCCAACCAAAGGAGUGUAAGAAUGCACCUGCAUUUAGUGGACUUUGCCAGACAUGCCUUUUGUCAUCAUAACCGUCAUAAGGCAAGUGUCUGAGUCGUGUCUGGAAGCCCAGUUGGUUGGCCAGCUGUUCGCACAGCACUCUAGCUGAUGGCUCAGAGACGUUUCCAGGCCUCAGCUUGCACAUCAUGGAUACAGCAGUCUCCUUCUGCAAUGUCACUGUGUGUGUGUUUUGUUCCCUGAAAUCAACAAGGAGAGAGAACAGUACUGUGAAACAUUUGGACGAGCCAGAGGACUAGAUGCUGCUGAUACCUCAGUGUAUCUAAUUUUUAGAAAGAAACUCUGUGCUAGGUUUCUGUGUGCUUGAAAAACCAUGGUGUGCGCUCAUGGUGUCAGUCACCCAGCAAAGGUCCUGGAGGGUAGCGCCCCCGCCCCCACCCCAGUAUAAGGGGAAUGCUGUAGUUUGCAUAUAAAAGGCUGUCUAGAAAGGAAAUACUUAGGAAUAUUAAGCUGUAUAUUGUAGAAUUUUCAUUGAGGUGGAAACUAAAAUAACUUUUCAGGAUCUUUCCCAGUAUGAAGAGUCCCAUACAAGCAGCUUUGCCUUUGGUGGGUCCUCAGAGUGGGGACAAAGCAGGCAUUGUCCUUACUGUUGCCCCUGGGGGCCCGUCUCUAUGACGCCAUGGUGGAAAUCUAGCCAAGAAUCCAAGAGUGGCCUCUGGGAGAAACUGGUGUGUCCAGGCAGGGAAGGCAGCAGCCAGGAGGUUCUGUGAGGUUUGGCUAACAAGCAUGGUUUGGGGGUGCUUGGGUGUCCCUUGGGCCUGUUGGGGAAUACUGAGCAUACGACAGAGCUAAUGUCAGGAUUAGGGACAGGCCUUGCUUGGUGGCAAGUUACAAGGCUACGUCUCAACCCGCAGUUCAGUUCUUAGAGCCCUACUCUUGCCUUUGAAUUUGUUGAUGGGGACACAUAGUAUGGAAAGGAAAUGCUUUGAGUUUUGUUGCUCCUUUAAGGCUGCCUGAAUUUUAAAAUUUCUGCUUUGUCACAGUUCUGUAGUCUUUCUUGUGUUUUGUUUGUUUUCUUAGUUGAUUUUUGUUGUUUGAGACAGGGUCUUACUAUGUAGCUCUGGCUGUCCCGGAACUCACUAUGUAGACCAGGUUGGCCUCAAACUCAUAGAGAUCUUCCUGCCUCUGUUUCCCAUGUGUUGGGAUUAAAGGUGUGUGCCACUAUGCUCAGCUUCAUGUUUUUUGUUUUUUUAAGAUGUGUUUAGUUAUUAUAUUUAUGUGUUUGUAUGGGUGUAUGUCACAUGUGUGCAGGGCCUGGCUGCAUCUUUCUUGUGUUUAUUUAGUGUAUUUAUAUGUUUGUGUUUGUAUGGGUGGCCAGAAAAGGGUGUGGAUCCCCUGGACCUGGAUUUGCAGGUGGUUGUGAGCAGCCUGCUGUGGGUGUUGGGAACUGGAUUCUGGUUCUCUGCAGGAGCAAGAAGUAUUUGUAGCCUCUGAGCUCUCCAUAAUCUCUCCAGUCCCAACUGUGAGGUCUUACCAGGUCUAACCAGCUGCACGGCUUAAUACCCAGCCCUGGAGUAGGCUCAGCUGAGUAUACCUGUCCCCUAAGUGUGCCCACCCCUGAGCAUGCCUAGUCCUCAAGCGUGCUACCCUUGAGUGUGCUCAAAUGCAUUAGGACCCACAACUUAUGUAUAGCAGGGUGGCCUUAUUUUUAGUAAGUGUCUAAAAUACAAGUUUUUGAGCAGGGCCAGUAUAGAUUUAAUUAAAUGACACUAAAAUGGGAGAUAAUUACUUCCAUGUGUUUCAUGGAGCCUGAGGGUCUCCCUGGUCCUGUGGGUGCAGCCCUGGGAAGCUAUGACCUAGAAUAGUGUCCAGGCCCUUCCCCCUUGGGCAUCCAGGGUCUAGUAGGUGCCGAUCCAAAAGCUCAGAGACCCAUUAGUAUACAGAACUCUUGCCUGUGAGGCAUCAGUCAGACAUUAGGCCCACAGUGUAGAACACCAGCAAGCAUUGCAUGAGAAAUAUACAAGAUGGCAGGGCCUCCAGUGGCUCUGAUGUAACAGAUGUGGAAGCUUAGUACUGUCCAGACACUUCAAACCCAAAGGGCCAGCCCUGACCUGGGACUCUGCCAUUGGCCACAGCAAAGUAUCCAUUUAUAGUGACUGGGAGCAUGCAUACCCUCAGCACACUGGGAGCCAAACAUUUAGAUUAGCAGCUGUGUGUGGGCUGCGUUGCUCUCCUGUGCUUUAGACUCACAUUGCCCAGUCCCGAAAGUGAGUACUAUGCCUGUCCCAGGUGCUGGAGUGUGGCUGCUCAAAGCCAGAGCCUGCUUGGAAGAUAAAGGACCCAGAAGGGAUUAGGUGUGCCCCUUUCUGAAGUGUGUUAAGUACAUAUUACAAGGUUGUAGUAUACAUGUUUGUGUAUUGUAUUAAGUGAAAUAGAUUAUUAGAGAGCAUUUCCUCUUCUAAUGUGGUCAUCCAUACAAUUGCAGUAGCUUGUGCCAUCCAUCAGCUGUGUGUGUUGAGAAGCGUGAUCUAGAGCGCUGUGGCUGCCCUGGGUUUGAGUUUACUCUGAUCUUGCAGGUGCUGGGCCAGUGGUCAGUACUGCAGUUCCUGGGUUUCUAAGGAAAGUUCCUUAGCAGCCUCCUGGGGGUGCUCCAGAGGGUCACCAUACUGACCAUGUUUCUCUUGAGGCAUCAGCCCUGCUUUGCCUGUGGUGAGCCCUUGUCCUGAAGGCCCAGCAUUGUGCAGGCUUCCUUUGCCCUUGAGUUCUGUUGGGAGUAAAGCUGCAGUGUACUGCUUGUAGCUGAUUUUCCACAUCAUGGCCAUGUCCUGAAUGCAUUGGUGGCCUGCUCAGCCUGCGUGUCACGUUGGUGAAGAGCCCAGUGUCUUUGUGGGAGGAGAGCCACCACCUUGUAAGUACCUGUCCCCCCCCAUACCAUGUGACUUGCUUUGGCAGCCUGAGUGGAGGGGCUGAUGCCUGUGCAGCUGUGGGGACCCGGCACAGUCCUAGGAAAAUACCCCAGGCACUCCCACAUCUGGCCAGGCUAUUAAUAUCCCACAAAGAACUCUUUUUUUUCCCAGUGGAGAGCCUGCGUGUGGCGAUGCUUUCAGGCACAUGAGCAGAGCCCAUGAAACGAGCCUUGCGGAGAGAGGAUUUCUGGAUGCACCAUUGAGUUCCCAUCCACAAGUCUGGGCCUCGUAGUUUUCUGCCUGCUGUUCUGCUGUUUGUGGGUGCUGGUUCCCAGAAGGCAGGUGGAACUGUUGGCCCCAGGUAGCCUGUUGCAGAGAGGCUGGUCCUUCUCCGCUGUUUGUAUUCACUCCACAUUGGAAGGGUUCUCUGUAGCCUACUGUGUCCAGGCAACCAGGCCUCAGUAGGUGGCUAAUGUCAAACUCCUGGGGAAGACAGGCCCCGGGUGGGAUUGCUGAGAUCAUGUGGGAGAAGAGAUGGUGCGUGGUUCCAUGAGAGAUCUGCCGUGUCGGAAGGAGGGGCUGCAAUCACAGGC
ensembl:lncRNA